UACGAAGGGGGCUAGCGUUGCUCGGAAUUACUGGGCGUAAAGCGUGCGCAGGCGGUUUUGUAAGCCAGAUGUGAAAGCCCCGGGCUUAACCUGGGAAUGGCAUUUGGGACUGCAAGGCUAGAGUGCGGCAGAGGAGACUGGAAUUCCUGGUGUAGCAGUGAAAUGCGUAGAUAUCAGGAGGAAUACCGAUGGCGAAGGCAGGUCUCUGGGCUGACACUGACGCUCAUGCACGAAAGCGUGGGGAGCAAACAGG
rnacentral:rRNA from 1 species